AUUGAACGCUGGCGGCAUGCCUAACACAUGCAAGUCGAGCGGUGCGGCGAACGGGUGAGUAAUGCCUAGGAAUCUGCCUGGUAGUGGGGGAUAACGUCCGGAAACGGGCGCUAAUACCGCAUACUAUCAGAUGAGCCUAGGUCGGAUUAGCUAGUUGGUGGGGGAAAGGCCUACCAAGGCGACGAUCCGUCACUGGUCUGAGAGGAUGAUCAGUCACUCGGGAACGGAGACACGUCCCAGACUCCUACGGGAGGCAGCAGUGGGGAAUAUUGGACAAUGGGCGAAAUCUGGCUCCAGCAAUGCCGCGUGUGUGAAGAAGGUCUGCGGAUUGUAAGGCACUUUAAGUUGGGAGGCGUUACCAACAGAAUAAGCACCGGCUAACUUCGUGCCAGCAGCCGCGGUAAUUC
rnacentral:rRNA from 1 species